rnacentral:rRNA from 1 species
AUAUGGUCAAGUGACCAAGCGUGCACGGUGGAUGCCUUGGCAGUCAGAGGCGAUGAAGGACGUGGUAAUCUGCGAUAAGGUUCGGGGAGUUGAUAAACAAACUUUGAUCCGAACAUUUCCGAAUGGGGAAACCCACCCGCUUGCGGGUAUCGUAUGGUGAAUACAUAGCCAUACGAGGCGAACCCGGGGAACUGAAACAUCUAAGUACCCGGAGGAAAAGAAAUCAACCGAGAUUCCCUAAGUAGCGGCGAGCGAAAGGGGAUUAGCCCUUAAGUUGAUUUGGUGUUAGUAGAAGACUCUGGAAAGGGUCGCCGUAGAGAGUGAUAGCCUCGUAUACGAAAACACCUUAUCAAUGAAAUCGAGUAGGACGGGACACGUGAUAUCCUGUCUGAAUAUGGGGGGACCAUCCUCCAAGGCUAAAUACUCCUGACUGACCGAUAGUGAACCAGUACCGUGAGGGAAAGGCGAAAAGAACCCCUGUGAGGGGAGUGAAAUAGAUCCUGAAACCGUGUACGUACAAGCAGUGGGAGCCGACUUAGUUCGGUGACUGCGUACCUUUUGUAUAAUGGGUCAACGACUUAUUUUCAGUAGCAAGGUUAAGCACAUAGCGGAGCCGUAGGGAAACCGAGUCUUAAUAGGGCGUUUAGUUGCUGGGAAUAGACCCGAAACCGAGCGAUCUAUCCAUGAGCAGGUUGAAGGUUGGGUAACACUAACUGGAGGACCGAACUCACAUACGUUGAAAAGUCUGGAGAUGACUUGUGGAUAGGAGUGAAAGGCUAAUCAAGCUCGGAGAUAGCUGGUUCUCCUCGAAAGCUAUUUAGGUAGCGCCUCGUAUCUCACCAUUGGGGGUAGAGCACUGUUUGGGCUAGGGGGUCAUCCCGACUUACCAACCCCAUGCAAACUCCGAAUACCAAUGAGUGCAAUUACGGGAGACACACGGCGGGUGCUAACGUCCGUCGUGGAAAGGGAAACAACCCAGACCGUCAGCUAAGGUCCCAAAGUUACAGUUAAGUGGGAAACGAUGUGGGAAGGCUCAGACAGCUAGGAGGUUGGCUUAGAAGCAGCCAUCCUUUAAAGAAAGCGUAAUAGCUCACUAGUCGAGUCGGCCUGCGCGGAAGAUAUAACGGGGCUAAACUGUACACCGAAGCUACGGAUGCAAGAACUUCACUUAAGCUUAUUUGAGCGAAGCGAAAAUAUAAGCCGCCACGAACGUUGAGUGGGCAGAGCGGUAUUUUGGCGGAGUAAGCAUUAGACGAAGUAAGUUUAAGGAAGUUCUUGCAUGGUAGAGGAGCGUUCUGUAAGCCGUUGAAGGUCAAGCUGUAAGGCAGGCUGGAGGUAUCAGAAGUGCGAAUGUUGACAUGAGUAACGAUAAGGGGAGUGAAAAACUCCCCCGCCGGAAGACCAAGGUUUCCUGUCCCAUGUUAAUCAGGGCAGGGUGAGUCGGCCCCUAAGGCGAGGCAGAAAUGCGUAGUCGAUGGGAAACAGGUUAAUAUUCCUGUACUCGUACAUAUUGCGAUGGAGAGACGGAGAAGGCUAGGCCAGCACAGCGAUGGUUGUCUGUGUUUAAGGCGGUAGGUUAGGUGCUUAGGCAAAUCCGGGCACCUCCCUUUAGUGGGAAAACCGAGAACUGACGACGAGCCCUCUUUUGGGUGAAGUGGUUGAUGCCAUGCUUCCAGGAAAAACUUCUAAGCUUCAGAUAUGAUCGAACCGUACCCCAAACCGACACAGGUGGUCAGGUAGAGAAUACCAAGGCGCUUGAGAGAACUCGGGUGAAGGAACUAGGCAAAAUGGUACCGUAACUUCGGGAGAAGGUACGCCGGCCGGUGUGAAGGACUUGCUCCGUAAGCACUAGUCGGUCGAAGAUACCAGGUGGCUGCGACUGUUUAUUAAAAACACAGCACUCUGCAAACACGAAAGUGGACGUAUAGGGUGUGACGCCUGCCCGGUGCUUGAAGGUUAAUUGAUGGGGUUAGCGCAAGCGAAGCUCUUGAUCGAAGCCCAAGUAAACGGCGGCCGUAACUAUAACGGUCCUAAGGUAGCGAAAUUCCUUGUCGGGUAAGUUCCGACCUGCACGAAUGGCGUAACGAUGGCCACACUGUCUCCACCCGAGACUCAGUGAAAUUGAAAUCGCAGUGAAGAUGCUGUGUAUCCGCGGCUAGACGGAAAGACCCCGUGAACCUUUACUAUAGCUUCACAGUGAACUUUGAACCUACUUGUGUAGGAUAGGUGGGAGGCUUUGAAACUAAGACGCCAGUUUUAGUGGAGCCACUCUUGAAAUACCACCCUGGUAUGUUUGAGGUUCUAACUCAGGUCCCUUAUCGGGAUCGAGGACACUGUGUGGUGGGUAGUUUGACUGGGGCGGUCUCCUCCCAAAGAGUAACGGAGGAGCACGAAGGUGUGCUCAGCAUGGUCGGAAAUCAUGCGUAGAGUGUAAAGGCAAAAGCACGCUUAACUGCGAGACAGACACGUCGAGCAGGUACGAAAGUAGGUCUUAGUGAUCCGGUGGUUCUGUAUGGAAGGGCCAUCGCUCAACGGAUAAAAGGUACUCCGGGGAUAACAGGCUGAUACCGCCCAAGAGUUCACAUCGACGGCGGUGUUUGGCACCUCGAUGUCGGCUCAUCACAUCCUGGGGCUGAAGCCGGUCCCAAGGGUAUGGCUGUUCGCCAUUUAAAGUGGUACGCGAGCUGGGUUUAGAACGUCGUGAGACAGUUCGGUCCCUAUCUGCCGUGGACGUUUGAGAUUUGAGAGGAGCUGCUCCUAGUACGAGAGGACCGGAGUGGACGAACCUCUGGUGUUCCGGUUGUCACGCCAGUGGCAUUGCCGGGUAGCUAUGUUCGGACGGGAUAACCGCUGAAAGCAUCUAAGCGGGAAGCCUCCCUCAAGAUAAGAUCUCACUGGGACAUAAGUCCCCUAAAGAGCCGUUCGAGACUAGGACGUUGAUAGGUUGGGUGUGUAAGUGCUGUGAGGCAUUGAGCUAACCAAUACUAAUUGCUCGUGAGGCUUGACCAUAUAACACCAAAGU